GCCUAUAAUGCAAGUCGAACGAGAUCUUCGGAUCUAGUGGCGCACGGGUGCGUAACGCGUGGGAAUCUGCCCUUGGGUUCGGAAUAACGUCGGGAAACUGACGCUAAUACCGGAUGAUGACGAAAGUCCAAAGAUUUAUCGCCCAGGGAUGAGCCCGCGUAGGAUUAGCUAGUUGGUGAGGUAAAGGCUCACCAAGGCUACGAUCCUUAGCUGGUCUGAGAGGAUGAUCAGCCACACUGGGACUGAGACACGGCCCAGACUCCUACGGGAGGCAGCAGUAGGGAAUAUUGGACAAUGGGGGCAACCCUGAUCCAGCAAUGCCGCGUGAGUGAUGAAGGCCUUAGGGUUGUAGAGCUCUUUUACCCGAGAUGAUAAUGACAGUAUCGGGAGAAUAAGCUCCGGCUAACUCCGUGCCAGCAGCCGCGGUAAUACGGAGGGAGCUAGCGUUGUUCGGAAUUACUGGGCGUAAAGCGCACGUAGGCGGCGAUUUAAGUCAGAGGUGAAAGCCCGGGGCUCAACCCCGGAACUGCCUUUGAGACUGGACUGCUUGAAUCCUGGAGAGGUGAGUGGAAUUCCGAGUGUAGAGGUGAAAUUCGUAGAUAUUCGGAAGAACACCAGUGGCGAAGGCGGCUCACUGGACAGGUAUUGACGCUGAGGUGCGAAAGCGUGGGGAGACAAACAGGAUUAGAUACCCUGGUAGUCCACGCCGUAAACGAUGAUAACUAGCUGCCGGGG
rnacentral:rRNA from 1 species